GACGAACGCUGGCGGCGUGCUUAACACAUGCAAGUCGAGCGGUAAGGCCCUUUCGGGGGUACGACGAGCGGCGAACGGGUGAGUAACACGUGGGUGACCUCGCCCUCCAGCUCUGGGAGUAAGCCGUGGGAAACGUGGGUCUAAUACUGGAUAUGACUCCACGGUGCAUGUCGGUGGGGUGGAAAGCCUUGUGCGGCUGAGGAU
rnacentral:rRNA from 1 species